UGUAAAUUCCCAUCUUUAAAUUUGAGAUUAUUUUAACCAGUAUCUCUAGACAUGACGAGGACGAGGAAUAAUGCCGUUAUGGAACAGUUUUGUUAUAUCUUCAGGUUGUGGUCCUUCAGAGGCGCUAUAAUUACGACAGUGACAUUUCGUAUGUGUUCAGUUGUCCUUUUCCGAAGACCGCUAGAUGGCAGUAACGUGAUGUCUUUUGACUCGAGAUGUUUAUCGGCUGUUCUGUGCACAUGCUUCCCGUCAUGCAAUUAUAGGACCUGAAAUGCUGAGAGGACAUAGAGCUGUCUAAAUGUGCAUAACGCAAACCACAUCUUGGAUAACAUUUUACCCACAGGACCCAGAUGCAGCUGAAAUUAGUGAAGGAGCGGCGCGUGAUGACUGGAUGAACAUCGUCCUGCUCCUGAACACAACAACCCUUCAACAAUUACCAUGGUAACCACAGUUCCUCCCUAAAUACCACAGCUGUUUGGACUCAUUUUGACGGCACCCAUUCACUGCAGAGGAUCCACUGGUGAGCAAGUGAUGUAAUGCUAAAUUUCUCCAAAUCUGUUCCAAUGAGUCCUCUACAUCCUGGAUUAACUGACACCCCCUACAGGGUCUGUGAGUUUUGCUAUAGCCUACCCCAAAGGUGCAGGUGAGCCCAGACUGAUCUAAGAUCAGAGACGCAGCCACAGGUGAGCCCUCUAACAUGAUUCCAUGUCCUCAGGCUAUGAAGUCUGAGCCGAGCUUUGGAGGGGCAAGAGGUGUAAAGGGAUAAAUGGAAACCGAAUUCAACAGGCUGCUGCCAAGCGUGGUGUCAUCAGCCAAUGCCACACAGGCACCUUUUUCUCCCUGACAGAAGCUGUUCAAGGCAUUUUUUCACCUUCUUAUCUUCUUUUUUAAUCCUUCAAGGACAGGAAGAGCUCUAAUGGGAGAAUAAAGCAUGUGACAUCUACACAUUUUUAUUUAAAAAAAAUGAACAUCACUGCUUGAGACUUUUGAAAGAACCCUUUUUUUUGUGGGAUUUAGCCAUCACUCUCGGUUCUGAGAGAACAACUCGUGUUAUUGACACCACAAGCACCUUUCUAACCCUUCAACACACUCAUUUGGAUGUGUGAGACCAAUCACUAUCAUUCUGCCUGAAUCCUUUAAUAUCAUUUCCGGACUUUCAUCAAGUUUUUGGCUGGUACAUUUGGUUUAGGGAAUCAGAUGGUAUUUGUUACACAAAGAGAGUUGCUCGCACAACCGGAGCUGUUAAUUAUGAUUGGUUUGUUAUUGCUCACCAGAGCAUAACAAAUCGCCAUUAUGUUGUUUUGCUGAGUCUAAUUUAAUUGUAACAAAAGUAAUUAUCCCUCAUUUAUAUUGAUGCCAUAAGCAGAAGUAAGAGAGCACCUGCUGCCAUAAGCCUGUUGUAUACUAAAAAUAAACCUGGUG
ensembl:lncRNA